GUCCCAGACUCCUACGGGAGGCAGCAGUGAGGAAUAUUGGUCAAUGGGCGCGAGCCUGAACCAGCCAAGUAGCGUGAAGGAUGACUGCCCUACGGGUUGUAAACUUCUUUUAUAAAGGAAUAAAGUGAGGCACGUGUGCCUUUUUGUAUGUACUUUAUGAAUAAGGAUCGGCUAACUCCGUGCCAGCAGCCGCGGUAAUACGGAGGAUCCGAGCGUUAUCCGGAUUUAUUGGGUUUAAAGGGUGCGUAGGCGGUCGGAUAAGUUAGAGGUGAAAUCCCGAGGCUCAACUUCGGAAUUGCCUCUGAUACUGUUCGGCUAGAGAGUAGUUGCGGUAGGCGGAAUGUAUGGUGUAGCGGUGAAAUGCGUAGAUAUUAGGAGGAACACCAGUGGCGAAGGCGGCCUACUGGACGGUGACUGACGCUGAGGCUCGAAAGCGUGGGGAGCAAACAGGAUUAGAUACCCGCGUA
rnacentral:rRNA from 1 species